rnacentral:rRNA from 1 species
AACGAACGCUGGCGGCAUGCCUAACACAUGCAAGUCGAACGAGACCUUCGGGUCUAGUGGCGCACGGGUGCGUAACGCGUGGGAACCUGCCCUUAGGUUCGAAAUAACUCCCCGAAAGGGGUGCUAAUACCGGAUAAUGUCUUCGGACCAAAGAUUUAUCGCCUUUGGAUGGGCCCGCGUUGGAUUAGCUAGUUGGUAAGGUAAAAGCCUACCAAGGCGACGAUCCAUAGCUGGUCUGAGAGGAUGAUCAGCCACACUGGGACUGAGACACGGCCCAGACUCCUACGGGAGGCAGCAGUGGGGAAUAUUGGACAAUGGGCGAAAGCCUGAUCCAGCAAUGCCGCGUGAGUGAUGAAGGCCUUAGGGUUGUAAAGCUCUUUUACCCGGGAUGAUAAUGACAGUACCGGGAGAAUAAGCUCCGGCUAACUCCGUG